rnacentral:lncRNA from 1 species
GCUGUGUUCACUGCAUUUGUACUUAAUAUUGUUUUGUGAAUAUCACUGGCCAUCUUGAUAGAAAAGUGCAAAGGUAUUGAGAGACUUGAAAGCAACAGUUAAGGAGAAGCAUAGGCUUAGAAACAAAAACAAAAGUAGAGAUUUUUUUUUAAACUUGGAAGCAUUGAGAAAAUAAAGGAUAUUACAAAUGUAGACGGAAUGAAUCAUUUGACAAGGAGUGAAUAAAGAAGCGACAACUGGCAAAAGGGAAGGAAAAUGAGAAACGAAAUGGAGUUUUUUUUUCAGUUUGCUGAGAAGAUAAUGAGGGAAGAUGAAUUUGAGAUUUUUCCUGCUUCUAGGAUGGUAGAGAGCAGUCUUCAGCCUGAGACCCAUUCCUAGGUACUGCUAUAUCUGGAACAUGCCAGGAAUGUCUAUGGAGCCAUGAGCAUGUGUUGCCAGCAGGAAGGUGCCCCAGGCCAUAUGGACUGACCAAUCAGUGUCCAGAUACCUGACACCAGCAGAUAUGUUCAACUUAUGCCCUGGUAUUUGCUCAUAAUGCAAAUGUAGAAAUUUUCAUUCUUUAAAAUGUCUAUCUCUUUAAAAAAU